UGGCUCAGUAGGUAGAGCAGGAGACUCCUGAGCUCUGGGUUGUGAGUUUGAGUCCCAC
rnacentral:tRNA from 1 species